rnacentral:rRNA from 1 species
AGGAAGCGAGAAGUCGACGCGCCGCAAGGCGUCCGGCCCUCCGCGAGCACCCGCGGGGGAUCGGGUUCCGGACCCGGUCCGAUCCCGUUCCCACCGAGGGGCUGUCCGCGAUCAUGGAGGUGUCCUCGGACGGCGUCGAAUCCUUCUCCAGUCCGCGACGCUACGGCUUGGAUGGUCCACCCGACCCGUCUUGAAACACGGACCAAGGAGUCUAACAUGCGCGCGAGUCGUUGGGUCGGACACGCUCCGCUAAACCCAUAGGCGCAAUGAAAGUGAAGGCCGCCGUCGGGCGGCCGAGGGAGGACGGGGCCGCCCGCGCGCUCCGGCGCGCGUCGGUCCCCGCACCCCCGGGGCGUCUGAUCCCUCAUCGCGAGGGGAGGCGCACUCAGAGCGCACACGUUGGGACCCGAAAGAUGGUGAACUAUGCCUGGCCAGGACGAAGUCAGGGGAAACCCUGAUGGAGGUCCGUAGCGAUUCUGACGUGCAAAUCGAUCGUCGGAGCUGGGUAUAGGGGCGAAAGACUAAUCGAACCAUCUAGUAGCUGGUUCCCUCCGAAGUUUCCCUCAGGAUAGCUUGCGCUCGGAGGAGAGUCUCAUCCGGUAAAGCGAAUGAUUAGAGGCCUUGGGGCCGAAACGGCUUCAACCUAUUCUCAAACUUUAAAUGGGUGAGAACUCCGGCUUGCUCGACUUGUCGAAGCCGGAGACGGGGCUCCGGCCCCCGGGAUCGGAGUGCAUAGUGGGCCACUUUUGGUAAGCAGAACUGGCGCUGUGGGAUGAACCAAACGACGGGUUAAGGCGCCCGAAUCGACGCUCAUGGGAAACCAUGAAAGGUGUUGGUUGCUUAAGACAGCAGGACGGUGGCCAUGGAAGUCGGAAUCCGCUAAGGAGUGUGUAAUAACUCACCUGCCGAAGCAACUAGCCCUGAAAAUGGAUGGCGCUGAAGCGUCGUGCCUAUACCCGGCCGUCGCGGCAGGGCGGACCCGCGAGGGUGCCGUUCGAUGCGGCGACGAGUAGGAGGGUCGCGGCGGCGCGCGCAGAAGGGUCUGGGCUCGAGCCUGCCUGGAGCCGCCGCCGGUGCAGAUCUUGGUGGUAGUAGCAAAUACUCCAGCGAGGCCCUGGAGGACUGAUGUGGAGAAGGGUUUCGUGUGAACAGCCGUUGCACACGAGUCAGUCGAUCCUAAGCCCUAGGAGAAAUCCGACGCCAACGGCGACGGGAAAAACGAAUGAAAGAGAAAGAAACCCGUUGAUCGGGCGAAAGGGAAUCCGGUUCCUAUUCCGGAACCCGGCAGCGGAACCGCUGUUUGUCGGGCCCUCACAAGGGGUUCGUCAGGGUAACCUAAAAGGGCCCGGAGACGCCGUCGGGAGCCCCGGAAAGAGUUUUCUUUUCUGCAUGAGCGUUCGAGUUCCCUG